rnacentral:rRNA from 1 species
UAAUACGUAGGGUGCAAGCGUUAAUCGGAAUUACUGGGCGUAAAGCGUGCGCAGGCGGUUCGGAAAGAAAGAUGUGAAAUCCCAGAGCUUAACUUUGGAACUGCAUUUUUAACUACCGAGCUAGAGUGUGUCAGAGGGAGGUGGAAUUCCGCGUGUAGCAGUGAAAUGCGUAGAUAUGCGGAGGAACACCGAUGGCGAAGGCAGCCUCCUGGGAUAACACUGACGCUCAUGCACGAAAGCGUGGGGAGCAAACAGGAUUA